GCAGCCACCCUUUAAAGAAAGCGUAAUAGCUCACUAGUCGAGUCGGCCUGCGCGGAAGAUGUAACGGGGCUAAACUAGACACCGAAGCUGCGGAUUUGACCGCAAGGUCAAGUGGUAGAAGAGCGUUCUGUAAACCGAUGAAGGUGAGGCGGGAGCCGAGCUGGAGGUAACAGAAGUGCGAAUGCUGACGUAAGUAACGAUAAAACAAGUGAAAAACUUGUUCGCCGUAAGACCAAGGGUUCCUGUCCAACGUUAAUCGGGGCAGGGUGAGUCGGUACCUAAGGCGAGGCUGAAAAGCGUAGUCGAAGGCAAACAGUUUAAUAUUACUGUACCAAGGUUAAGUGCGAUGGGGUGACGGAGAAGGGUAGGUCAGCCGGUUAUUGGAUUUCCGGUGAAAGGAUGUAGGGAGUACCUCGGGUUAAAAGACGAGGUGCGAUGAACUGAGAUCUGAGACGAGCUAUCGUAAGAUGGUGAAGUGAUUGAGCCCACGCUUCCAGGAAAAGCCUCUAAGCUUCAGCUUAACCAUGGCCGUACCCCAAACCGACACAGGUGGUCAGGUAGAGAAUACUAAGGCGCUUGAGAGAACUCGGGUGAAGGAACUAGGCAAAAUGGUACCGUAACUUCGGGAGAAGGUACGCUGUUGACGGUGAUGGGACUUGCUCCCUAAGCUAUUGACAGUCGCAGAGACCAGGUGGCUGGAACUGUUUAUUAAAAACACAGCACUGUGCAAAAUCGAAAGAUGACGUAUACGGUGUGACGCCUGCCCGGUGCCGGAAGGUUAAUUGAUCUGCUUAGCGCAA
rnacentral:rRNA from 16 species